rnacentral:rRNA from 1 species
AUGGUCAAAUCUCAAAAAAGAAAAUUAUACAUGGGUCAGAUCCUGUUAAACUACGCCAAAAGGUCAAAACACGAAAUCUUGCCACCCGGCGAGGAAAUGGCAGAGCGGCCGCGGUGGCAGGAGAGGCAGCAGCUCGCGCGCCUCUGCGACCUCGUCGCCGACUCCCUCCUCCCCCACCUCGAAUCCGAACCGCUGGCGACGCGGCGGCCGCAGCUCACUCGGGAGGAAGAGCGGCGCAUACUCGUCGCGCUCUCCCGGGUAAACAAGGCAAUUCGAGGAUGGGACGACGACGAGGUGGAUGAUGGGGAGCAAGGGUGCGCAUCGGAGCAGAUUGUUUCGUGUUCGGAAGAAGCUCACAGUUGCUGUUUGCCACCUGACCAUCAUUUUGAUGAUGGGUUUAGCUGCCUGGCCAAUAUUAUCUCCAUNNNGGUUGGCUUACUUCAUCUAUGUAGUGAUUAUAUUAAGCACUCAGCUGGGAAUAUCUUGAUGGCCAUCUCUAAUUCCCUAAUGAAGUUUGAAGCCGUUUGGAUUCAGUUUGUUGAGCUGGUCUGGGCAGCUAUACACACGGUAUCAACAUGCGCUCAUAACCAUUCUACAAUUAAUGCCACCAAAGAUUCUGUUGGUUGUUCAUCUGCUGCCGAAAGCAUAAGUCACGACACUACGACUAAAAGCACCAGUAUUACAAGCUUUAUAGCAGUACUCAAACUACGAUGUGUCAAUACCAGUAGGCAGAUAAUGACUUGCCUCUUUCGAGUACUACACAUUAUUCUGAAGCUUCUGAAACUCAAUGACUCUGAAAUGAAAGAUGACUUCAUUUGCCUGUCCAUUCAUCAUAUUCAGAAGUUACAUUGGGAUCCUGGUUACCAACUCAAUGCCGGGAAAGUUGUAAGCAUUGUCACGGAUGACCGACAUAGUUUGAGUAAAGAUGCUGCACAGUUUGGAAUUGUGUCAGGGAGUCUCCUCCAGCUCUUCUGCUCUUUAUUUGAGCAAAGUGACACAGAAGACACAGACCGACGAGAUAUAUUUGUGAAACUUGCAGAUGCCAUUCCUAGAUUAGCAACUUUCUUACAAGAGCAACAGGAUAUCCCAAAAAGUCUCUCUCAGUAUUCAAAGCACAAAAUAUUGAUGUUAAUGAUAAGGCUUAAGCCUCACAUACAGCAGAACUGCUCACAUAUUGUUUGUUUGCUGAAAUUACUUCGAGGCCACUUUCAGAGUCCACUCCAUGAACCUAUGUUCCAACAUAGCACUAAACUGGAGAACUGUUUAGAAGGAUCCCCAUUUUUGUUAAGUGGUGUAAGUUUGGGCGAGCUUCAGGAUAAAUCUACUCGGCACUUACAAAGGCAGGCUAUGUAUUUGUUUCUUAGUUGUUCGAUAGUCUUGGCUUGCAGUGGAGAUGAUAGUAGACUGAAAUGUUCAUGUAAGAGAGAUCAAUGUUGUCACAAGGGGCAAGGCUGCACUGAUAAUUGCAACUAUUUUGGCUUAUCAGAAAUCUCAGUUUGGUUUCAGAGAUGUUGCUUAGACAAGAUUUUGGACUCAAAAUCAUCAACAGACAUUGUUUUAUGCUUUCUGCAGUUAUAUAUGGAGGAGGACGAUAUGUUAUUCAUCAUUCUCUUGCAGCUUUUGGAUGCUCCACUUAUUUCGUUGGCAAUAGAUAAGAUGGAAACUAAAUGGACGUCUGAACUGAUUGGUGCCAAACUGUUCUCCAUAGUUUUUGACCCAGUUCAUAUUUUUCAUCAAUGGCUUUCAUUGUUGCACUAUGAUCACUUGGUACUUGUUGAUUAUCUCAUAUCUAAAGAUGUAGGUGUGCAUUGUGCCCAGUAUCUAUUAAGGUGCUUACGACUGGUAUCCGGGUGUUGGGAUGCUUUUGUCGAUGAUUCAGUUUACGAGGCACAAAUACAAAAAUUCAACUGUAAAAGGCAAAGAACCUUGAAAAAUAUAAAUAGUUUCACUGGCAGUUCAAUGGGAGGCACUAAGUUAGGUUCCUCUCAUGACAAGGAAAAUAAGAGCAAAAAACAGCUUUUCCUGAGUGCUAAAGUAUGUCUCCUUUCGUUAAAGCGAACUUUGGAAGAUCUUCAUAAGAAAGAUUUAUUCCCUUACAAUCCAAAGCCUCUGCUUAAAAGCUUGUCCAGAUUUGAGGAGCUCUGUGCGCAGUACUGA